AUACGUAGGUGACAAGCGUUAUCCGGAUUUACUGGGCGUAAAGGGCAUGCAGGCGGUGCGCCAAGUCGAGGGUGUAAAGUUACGGCUCAACCGUGACAUUGCAAUCGAUACUGGCGCGCUGGAGUGCGGGAGAGGGAAGUGGAAUUCCCGGGGUAGCGGUGAAAUGCGUAGAUAUCAGGAAGAAUACCAGUGGCGAAGGCGGUUUGCUGGCUGCAUACUGACGCUGAAGCGCGAAAGCCAGGGGAGCGAACGGGAUUAGAUACCCCGGUAGUCCUGGCAGUAAACGAUGUAUGCUGGGUGUGAGACUAGCGAUAGUUUCGUGCCGAAGUUAACGCGAUAAGCAUACCGCCUGGGGAGUACGGUCGCAAGAUUGAAACUCAAAUGAAUUGGCGGGG
rnacentral:rRNA from 1 species